CACAAACGCCGAGACAUCAGGCGAGCCGACAAGUGGCUGAAGAUGCUGAGGGACUGGGGGCAGUACCAAGGCAGCAAGAAGAUGCACAAGCGGGUCUUUAAGGGGAUCCCCCCGCAGGUGCAGGGUCGAGUGUGGUCGCUGCUGUUGGGCCUGGAGAAGGUGAAGGCGGAGAAUGAAGGCAAAUACGAGGUACGGCCCUUCCACACUCGGCAGAGGCAGCGCCCACAGGCCCGGCCUUUCAGGAGCUGGGGGAGCCGGCGGGUGGUCAUGCGCCAUGGGACCCUCUCACCUGGCCUCAGCUCUUUCCUGGCCCGUACUGGACUCACGGGCCCAGGACACUCCCGCCAGGAAGGCCCUGCCCGUCCCCCCACUGCCUGGGCCUCCAUUACCUUCAGCUUGACCCAGUGCAAACACUGGAGCCAGAGACAGACAGACGCCACAUGAAUCCGACUACGGUCCACAGCCCUGAGUAGGGGACAGUCACACAGCAAAGGACAGAAACCAGGGAAAGAGCAAGGAAGCACACCCACAGGACCCACAAAAUGAGGAAAGCAACCAAACCCACGGAAAUCACAGACAGGAGUGCCAUUGGGUAGAAAGGAAAAACUUAAUGGGACCAGGAACUGGUCUUUUCCUGUCCCCCCAGCGGGGACCCAGCACCCGGCUGGUUCCCAUGGCUCAGCCCUGUCUCCACCCUAGGGUCCCCCAGGUCACAUGGCCCAGGGAGGGGGCUCUGUGCACACUUGAUGAUGCAAGGCAGCGAUGCACCCAGACCGAGUGGGACCGGCCCAGCAAAGCCUGGACAAGAGGAGAUGCAGCCCGAGGGGGUGUGAUGGGGUCACAGUUCAGCAAGCAGCUGGGAAUUAUGUGGUGAAUAUGUCCACAAGUGUGCAUCCGCUGAUGACUGUGGAACAACAGCCAGCAUCGUGCUCAAUCGUGAGACCCUCCAAGGGCCCCACAGACCAGGACGAGAGGAGGCUGUAGUUGUCAAGCAGGCAGCGUGUCCCUGUGGUCCCGCAGGAGACAGGGAAGGAGGUGUGGAGAGAAGAGGCGGGAUGAGUUUGGCUGUGGAGUCCUGUUCCAGCGGGGGCUGAGCCCAGACCCCUCCCGCCGCCCCGUGCAGGGCCAGGCGAGGCCAGCUCCUUCCCGGGAGCGGAGGGGCAGCACUGACAUCGCACCCGCCUGCUCCCGCAUCCGGGCCCCCAGGCUCCCUGCACAGUUGCCCAGACUCCCCCGAGCCCCUGACAGCCGAGUCCGCUUCUGAACUCAUGACCAGGAGCCCGCCAGAUGCAGCCGGAUUCGGGUGAAAACCCAGACAAACUGCCCCACAGCUGCCGCUGCCCGUGUGUAGAGACACGAGGGACUCAGCUGAGAGCCCAGUCGGCCACAGGAGAGGGGACUGAAGGAGCAGGUGGUCACUCCGCACAGCACACACGGUUGUAGUUUGUAUUACACAGUGUGCCACGGACAUCAGGGAAACCAUCGUCUUAUUGACCAGCUACUGUGUAAAUGUUCUAAGAAAAAUGUUCUGUUCACCAUAGCACCAAAACUUUAGACCCAAGGACAUGAAAAUUGGAACGACAAAUUAUGUAACAGACCAUGAGAAGCCCCCCAAAACAGUGUUUUAUUUUCUAAAAGACUAACAUUAAAGAACUAUGUAUUCAACUUUAAAAUUAGAAAAAAAUUAGAAAAAGAAUAAAGAAGGAGUUUAAAAUUGCA
rnacentral:lncRNA from 1 species